CGUUAAAACACCGCUUCCUCUACAAUCACUGAAGUUAAGUAAUGUCGAGCCUGGUCAGUACAUAGAUGGGUGACCGCUUGGAAAUACCAGAUGUUGCAAG